UACGUAGGUGGCAAGCGUUGUCCGGAAUUAUUGGGCGUAAAGGGCUCGCAGGCGGUCUUCUAAGUCUGAUGUGAAAUCUUGCGGCUUAACCGUAAGCGGUCAUUGGAAACUGGAGGACUUGAGUACAGAAGAGGAGAGUGGAAUUCCACGUGUAGCGGUGAAAUGCGUAGAGAUGUGGAGGAACACCAGUGGCGAAGGCGACUCUCUGGUCUGUAACUGACGCUGAGGAGCGAAAGCGUGGGGAGCAAACAGGAUUAGAAACCCCCGUAGUCC
rnacentral:rRNA from 1 species